rnacentral:rRNA from 1 species
ACGCACGCUGGCGGCGUGCUUAACACCUGCCAGUCGAACGGAAAGGCCUUUUCGGAGGUACUCGAGUGGCGAACGGGUGAGUAACACGUGGGUGAUCUGCCCUGCACUCUGGGAUAAGCCUGGGAAACUGGGUCUAAUACCGGAUAGGACCGCACUUUAGUGUGUGUGGUGGAAAGUUUUUUCGGUGUAGGAUGAGCCCGCGGCCUAUCAGCUUGUUGGUGGGGUAAUGGCCUACCAAGGCGGCGACGGGUAGCCGGACUGAGAGGUUGGUCGGCCACAUUGGGACUGAGAUACGGCCCAGACUCCUACGGGAGGCAGCAGUGGGGAAUAUUGCACAAUGGGCGCAAGCCUGAUGCAGCGACGCCGCGUGGGGGAUGACGGCCUUCGGGUUGUAAACUCCUUUCGCCAGGGACGAAGCGUUUUGUGACGGUACCUGGAGAAGAAGCACCGGCUAACUACGUG